AAAAAAAAAAAAAAAAAAAAAAAAAAAAAAAAAGUCAUUAUUUGAAGACGGGUACACAGGCUUCCAGCUGGCCGCCAGAAGGGUCCUCCGGACACAGGCUGUGGAGUCUAUUUGCUGCUCUCCCUAUUUAACGUGGGAUUAUCUGACUGUGUAACUUGUGGAAAAGUAAAAGGUGAAGGGAAAGCACGGGUUACACAGCCCGCCCCGAGCAAGAACAAGAGAAGAAAACAAAUGCCUUUAUUAUCUUUUAUCUCCCCCUUAACCAUUUCUCGUUAUUCAUGUUUUGUUAAGUUCCUGAUUUCCUUUCAGUGCAGCUGUAAGGUCGCCAGGUAUGCUUGCCUUGCAAGACCCGUCACAGUUUGAUUAGCUGCCUUUGUUCUGCUUCCGUAAGCCCUCUUGCCUACCCCGCGAGUUUGGCGCCAUUAAAUUCCCGCCGCGCCGUUCAAACUAGCCAACCCCCUUUCAGAAGUGUGUAUAAAAGUCAAGCCCUGUUUUUGUUGGGGCUCGGCCUUUGGAUUUUCAUCUGCUGGGCGUGAGCGCACUCAAUAAAAUCCUCGUGUUCCACCCA